rnacentral:lncRNA from 1 species
UCUAACUAUGGACUAACUAAGUUUAAAAGAUUUGUCUCAUUACAGACAAAUUAUGCAAUUAGUUAUCUUUUAUCUAUAUUUAGUGUUUCAUGCAUAUGCCGCAAGAUUUGAUAUGUCUUAGAAUUUUUUUUUUGAAUUUUGGAUUUAACUAAGGCAUUGUUUAGUUCACACCAAAAACAAAAAACUUUUCAACAUUUCCUGUCAUAUCAAAUCUUGUGGCACAUGCGUGGAGCAUUAAAUAUAGACGAAAACAAAAACUAAUUGCACAAUUUACAUGUAAAUCGCGAGAUGAAUCUUUUGAAUCUAUUAGUUUAUGAUUGAACAAUAUUUGCUAAAUAAAACAAAAUGCUACAGUACCAAAAAAAACAAAAAAAACGGAACUAAACAAGGCCUAAACAAGGCCUCAGUUGUCUCAAAAUCUACAAAAUCUUGGUCAGUAGUAAAACAACAAAGAAAUCACAAAUCUAUUUGAUCGAGUAACGGUCUCAUCCUGUCGGAUUUCCUUGUCCGAGCCCAUCUGCACGGUAGAGCAGCGGAACCGAGGGAGCUCAGGUAAAAAUUUGGGGCAUUUGGCCUGCCAUGGUCAGAACUUUUGCCGGCUCGUCGCUACAUUUUUUUUUUACUGUUUCCUGCCUGAACCUGUUGAAUCCUAAUUUGGCAGUAGCCUACUCGUAUGAAGCGCUCUCGUGCAGCACUCUCGGUUCUUUUUUAUUUUUUGGAACUUUGGAUUCUUUAUUUAGGUCUUAGAUCCAAUUUUUUUAAAAAUUUUAAACUGUAGCACUUUCAUUUAUAUUGGUAAUUAUUGUCUAACUAUAAACUAAUUAAACUUAAAAAAUUCAUCUCGUAAAUUACAUAUAAACGGUAC